AAGAAACAGGGUCUUGCUCUGUCACCCAGCCUGGAGUGCAGUGAUGUGAUCACAUCUCAUUGCAUCCUUGAACUCCUGCCUGCCAGCGAUCCUCCUGCUUUGGCCUCCCAAAGUGCUGGGAUUACAGACGGAGUCUUGUGCUGCUGCCCAGGCCAGAGUGCAUUGGCAUGAACUCAGCUCACCGCAACCUCUGCGUCCUGGAUUCAAGUGAUUCUCCUCCCUCAGGCUCCCAAGUAGCUGGGAUUAUGGGCUACUAAGCCCGGCUAAAUUUUUUAUUUUUUAUUAUUUUUAGUAGAGAUAAGCUUGCACCAUAUCUUUAGUCUUGCCUUUAUUCUUAAGAAACAUACACAUCUGUGUGAAUCUCCUAA